rnacentral:rRNA from 1 species
GCAGUCGACGGUUUAGGAAGCAUCUUGCUUCUUUGCUGACGAGUGGCAUACGGGUGACUAAUGUCUGGGAAACUGCCUGAUGGAGGGGGAUAACUACUGGAAACGGUAGCUAAUACCGCUUAACGUCGCAAGACCAUAGAGGGGGACCUUCUGGCCUCUUGCCAUCGGAUGUGCCCAGAUGGGAUUAGCUAGUACGUGGCGUAACGGCUCACCUAGGCUACGAUCCCUAUCUGGUCUGAGAGGAUGACCAGCCACACUGGAACUGAAACACGGUCCAUACUCCUACGGGAGGCAGCAGUGGGGAAUAUUGCACAAUGGGCGCAAGCCUGAUGCAGCCAUGCCGCGUGUAUGAAGAAGGCCUUCGGGUUGUAAAGUACUUUCACCGGGGAGGAAGGGAGUAAAGUUAAUACCUUUGCUCAUUGACGUUACCCGCAAAAGAAUCACCGGCUAACUCCAUGCCAGCAGCCCCGGUAAUACGGAGGGUGCAAGCGUUAAUCGGAAUUACUGGGCGUAGAGCGCACGCAUGCGGUUUGUUAAGUCAGAUGUGAGAUCCCCGGGCUCGACCUGAGAACUGCAUCUGAUACUGGCAAGCUUGAGUCGCGUAGAGGGGGGUAGAAUUCCAGGUGUAACGGUGAAAUGCGUAGAGAUCUGGAGGAAUACCGGUGGGCGAAAGCGGCCCUCUGGACCACACUGACGCGCAUGUGCCGAAGCGUGGCGAGCAAACAGGAUUACAUCCCUGGUAGUCUACUCCCUAACCG